rnacentral:rRNA from 1 species
GAUGAACGCUGGCGGCGUGCCUAAUACAUGCAAGUCGAGCGAACAGACGCGGAGCUUGCUCCUCUGACGUUAGCGGCGGACGUGUGAGUAACGCGUGGGUAACCUACCUAUAAGACUGGGAUAACUUCGGGAAACCGGAGCUAAUACCGGAUAAUAUAGUGAACCGCAUGGUUCAAUAGUGAAAGACGGUUUUGCUGUCACUGAUAGAUGGAUCCGCGCCGCAUUAGCUAGUUGGUAAGGUAACGGCUUACCAAGGCGACGAUGCGUAGCCGACCUGAGAGGGUGAUCGGCCACACUGGAACUGAGACACGGUCCAGACUCCUACGGGAGGCAGCAGUAGGGAAUGUUCGGCAAUGGGCGAAAGCCUGACGGAGCAACGCCGCGUGAGUGAUGAAGGUCUUCGGAUCGUAAAACUCUGUUAUUAGGGAAGAACAAAUGUGUAAGUAACUAUGCACGUAUUGACGGUACCUAAUCAGAAAGCAACGGCUAACUACGUG